rnacentral:rRNA from 1 species
AUUGAACGCUGGCGGCAGGCUUAACACAUGCAAGUCGAGCGGUAGCACAGGGGAGCUUGCUCCAUGGGUGACGAGCGGCGGACGGGUGAGUAAUGUCUGGGAAACUGCCUGAUGGAGGGGGAUAACUACUGGAAACGGUAGCUAAUACAGCAUAAUGUUGGACGAUCAAAGAGGGGGACCUUCGGGCGUUUUGCCAUCAGAUGUGACCAGAUGGGAUUAGCUAGUAGGUGGGGUAAUGGCUCACCGAGGCGACGAGCCCUCGCUGGUCGAAGAGGGUGACCAGCCACACGGGAACGGAGACACGGUCCACACUCCGACGGGAGGCAGCAGUGGGGAAUAUUGCACAAGGGGCGCAAGCCUGAUGCAGCCAUGCCGCGUGUGUGAAGAAGGCCUUCGGGUUGUAAAGCACUUUCAGCGAGGAGGAAGUAGGUGAGCUUAAUACGUUCAUCAAUUGACGUUACUCGCAGAAGAAGCACCGGCUAACUCCGUG